rnacentral:rRNA from 1 species
ACGGGUGAGUAAUGUCUGGGGAUCUGCCCGAUAGAGGGGGAUAACCACUGGAAACGGUGGCUAAUACCGCAUAACGUCGCAAGACCAAAGAGGGGGACCUUCGGGCCUCUCACUAUCGGAUGAACCCAGAUGGGAUUAGCUAGUAGGCGGGGUAACGGCUCACCUAGGCGACGAUCCCUAGCUGGUCUGAGAGGAUGACCAGCCACACUGGAACUGAGACACGGUCCAGACUCCUACGGGAGGCAGCAGUGGGGAAUAUUGCACAAUGGGCGCAAGCCUGAUGCAGCCAUGCCGCGUGUAUGAAGAAGGCCUUCGGGUUGUAAAGUACUUUCAGCGGGGAGGAAGGCAGUGGGGUUAAUAACCUUGUUGAUUGACGUUACCCGCAGAAGAAGCACCGGCUAACUCCGUGCCAGCAGCCGCGGUAAUACGGAGGGUGCAAGCGUUAAUCGGAAUUACUGGGCGUAAAGCGCACGCAGGCGGUCUGUUAAGUCAGAUGUGAAAUCCCCGGGCUUAACCUGGGAACUGCAUUUGAAACUGGCAGGCUUGAGUCUCGUAGAGGGGGGUAGAAUUCCAGGUGUA